AAGUCGUAACAAGGUCUCCGUAGGUGAACCUGCGGAGGGAUCAUCUAUAAAAAAAAUAUGAUGAUGAUGAUGAUGAUGAUGUUUAUUCAUCAUCAUCAUCAUUAUUCAUAUAUUAUCCAUUAUAGGAUGUUUUGGUGUUGUUAUUAUAUAAUAUUCUUAUAAUGUUGCAGGAUGGAAUUGUGUGUAUGUGUAUGUGUGUGUGUGUCGGUGUUUGUGUGUGUGUUGUAUGUGUGUUUGUGUUUUAAGGAGUAUUGUUACUCUUUUUAACCUUCCCCACAUACACUCUACUCUUAUUACUACCCAUCACUACACCAAUAAAAAACCAACCAGGAUCAUAAAUUCCAAACAAAGUUUAUAACUUUUGGCAACGGAUCUCUUGGUUCUC
rnacentral:misc_RNA from 1 species